rnacentral:misc_RNA from 1 species
GAUGAAGAACGCAGCGAAAUGCGAUACGUAAUGUGAAUUGCAGAAUUCAGUGAAUCAUCGAAUCUUUGAACGCAUAUUGCGCUCUCUGGUAUUCCGGAGAGCAUGCUUGUUUGAGUAUCAGUAAACACCUCAACUCCCUUUUCUUUUUUGAAAUUGGAGCUGGACUUGAGUGAUCCCAACGCUUUCUUCCAAGAAAGUGGCGGGUUGCUUGAAAUGCAGGUGCAGCUGAACUUUUCUCUGAGCUAUAAGCAUAUCUAUUUAGUCUGCCUAAAAAACAGAUUAUUACCUUUGCUGCAGCUAACAUAAAGGAGACUAGUUCUUGUGCUGACUGAUGCAGGAUUCACAGAGACAGCUUCGGCUGACUUUGUAAACUCGAUCUCAAAUCAAGUAAGACUACCCGCUGAACUUAAGCAUAUCAUAAGCGGAGGA